UUCCCCCCCCCCGCGGCGGGGCCUAAUACUGCAAGUCGAACGCUUCUUUUUCCACCGGAGCUUGCUCCACCGGAAAAAGAGGAGUGGCGAACGGGUGAGUAACACGUGGGUAACCUGCCCAUCAGAAGGGGAUAACACUUGGAAACAGGUGCUAAUACCGUAUAACAAUCGAAACCGCAUGGUUUUGAUUUGAAAGGCGCUUUCGGGAGUCGCUGAUGGAUGGACCCGCGGUGCAUUAGCUAGUUGGUGAGGUAACGGCUCACCAAGGCGACGAUGCAUAGCCGACCUGAGAGGGUGAUCGGCCACAUUGGGACUGAGACACGGCCCAAACUCCUACGGGAGGCAGCAGUAGGGAAUCUUCGGCAAUGGACGAAAGUCUGACCGAGCAACGCCGCGUGAGUGAAGAAGGUUUUCGGAUCGUAAAACUCUGUUGUUAGAGAAGAACAAGGAUGAGAGUAACUGUUCAUCCCUUGACGGUAUCUAACCAGAAAGCCACGGCUAACUACGUGCCAGCAGCCGCGGUAAUACGUAGGUGGCAAGCGUUGUCCGGAUUUAUUGGGCGUAAAGCGAGCGCAGGCGGUUUCUUAAGUCUGAUGUGAAAGCCCCCGGCUCAACCGGGGAGGGUCAUUGGAAACUGGGAGACUUGAGUGCAGAAGAGGAGAGUGGAAUUCCAUGUGUAGCGGUGAAAUGCGUAGAUAUAUGGAGGAACACCAGUGGCGAAGGCGGCUCUCUGGUCUGUAACUGACGCUGAGGCUCGAAAGCGUGGGGAGCAAACAGGAUUAGAUACCCUGGUAGUCCACGCCGUAAACGAUGAGUGCUAAGUGUUGGAGGGUUUCCGCCCUUCAGUGCUGCAGCUAACGCAUUAAGCACUCCGCCUGGGGAGUACGACCGCAAGGUUGAAACUCAAAGGAAUUGACGGGGGCCCGCACAAGCGGUGGAGCAUGUGGUUUAAUUCGAAGCAACGCGAAAAACCUUACCAGGUCUUGACAUCCUUUGACCACUCUAGAGAUAGAGCUUCCCCUUCGGGGGCAAAGUGACAGGUGGUGCAUGGUUGUCCUCAGCUCGGGGUCCUGAGAUGUUGGGUUAAGUCCCGCAACGAACCGCAACCCUUUAUUGUUAGUUGCCCUUCUUUUAGUUGGGCCCUUCUAGCAAGAAUGGCCGGUGAAAAAACCGGAAGGAAGGGGGGGGAAAAAACUUCAAAUCCCCAGGCCCCCUUAAGAACCGGGGGCUAACCACCGGGCCUACAAUGGGGAAAGUAAAACCGAAUUCCCAAAAUUCCCGGAGGCUAAACCUAAUUCCUUUAAAAGCUUUCCCCCAACUUCCCAAAUUUAAGCCC
rnacentral:rRNA from 1 species